AAUGCCUAGGAAUCUGCCUGGUAGUGGGGGAUAACGUUCGGAAACGGACGCUAAUACCGCAUACGUCCUACGGGAGAAAGCAGGGGACCUUCGGGCCUUGCGCUAUCAGAUGAGCCUAGGUCGGAUUAGCUAGUUGGUGAGGUAAUGGCUCACCAAGGCGACGAUCCGUAACUGGUCUGAGAGGAUGAUCAGUCACACUGGAACUGAGACACGGUCCAGACUCCUACGGGAGGCAGCAGUGGGGAAUAUUGGACAAUGGGCGAAAGCCUGAUCCAGCCAUGCCGCGUGUGUGAAGAAGGUCUUCGGAUUGUAAAGCACUUUAAGUUGGGAGGAAGGGUUGUAGAUUAAUACUCUGCAAUCUUGACGUUACCGACAGAAUAAGCACCGGCUAACUCUGUGCCAGCAGCCGCGGUAAUACAGAGGGUGCAAGCGUUAAUCGGAAUUACUGGGCGUAAAGCGCGCGUAGGUGGUUUGUUAAGUUGGAUGUGAAAUCCCCGGGCUCAACCUGGGAACUGCAUUCAAAACUGACUGACUAGAGUAUGGUAGAGGGUGGUGGAAUUUCCUGUGUAGCGGUGAAAUGCGUAGAUAUAGGAAGG
rnacentral:rRNA from 1 species